UGCAGUCGAACGAACCUUCGGGUUAGUGGCGGACGGGUGAGUUAACGCGUGAGAAUCUGCCCUCAGGAGGGAGAUAACGGUUGGAAACGACCGCUAAUACCCCAUAUGCCGCGAGGUGAAAUGAAUUUCGCCUGAGGAUGAGCUCGCGUCUGAUUAGUUAGUUGGUGGGGUAAAGGCCUACCAAGACAUCGAUCAGUAGCUGGUCUGAGAGGAUGAUCAGCCACACUGGGACUGAGACACGGCCCAGACUCCUACGGGAGGCAGCAGUGGGGAAUUUUCCGCAAUGGGCGAAAGCCUGACGGAGCAACGCCGCGUGAGGGAUGAAGGCCUCUGGGCUGUAAACCUCUUUUAUCAAGGAAGAAGAUCUGACGGUACUUGAUGAAUAAGCCACGGCUAAUUCCGUGCCAGCAGCCGCGGUAAU
rnacentral:rRNA from 1 species